rnacentral:lncRNA from 1 species
AAAAACUUUACACGAAAUUAUUUGUGACCCAUGUAAUCUGUCUGGCAAUGUGUGGACCAACGAGAUAAGUAGUGUUUUCAUUUGAUACGUUUUCGAAAAUUAAUUAAUGUUAGUAGGCUCAUCCAGUUCGUCUUCGACGAGUAUUUUGGCAUAUUUUUACUGUAUAGUCUUUUCCAUGAUAUCAGUUGUUUUUAACGACAGCGAUAAACAUAUUUUGACCCAUAUAGUCCAAAAUCCCUCAAACAUAUUUAAGCGGAAAUCAGCACAAAUCUCUCAUCUUAAAAAUUCUAACUAUAAUUAGUUUAAAUACACCCAUAUAUUAUGCAUUUAUUUGGAGGGUGUAGACGCAGUGCUGUUGACGCUGAAAUUGCAAUAGAUAGUACUCGAGUUUUAGGAGGCUUUAGGAGUGGGCACUUUCCUUUUUUCGCAGUAACGCCUAUUCGUUGUUCGCGAAUCAUCCAAUUUGAAACGUAACGAUUAAUAUAUCUUCUCUCUAGUGCACUAUCGUACUCGGCACUGUAGCAUAGCUACCUUCCAUAUGGAAUCGGAGAGUAGUAGACCGCCUUUCUUCCUUUUUUUUUUUUUUUUACCUGUCGUUGUCUCUUAGGAUUUCGAUACAAGCUGAAAAAUUUAGUGUAAAUCUUUUCGAUUACAUAUAAAGUGUGAAUCAGCGCAUUUUUGCUUCGUUUUUGUAUUGAAGGGUCUUCGAAUGGCAAGUAGAGCGGCACGUCCCAGCCAUUGCAAUUGACGGAAACAAUCCACUCCAGCCAGCUUCUUACUAAUAUCGAAUUGAUGGACAUCUGUCUGGUUUGCCCGAGUGGACUUUUGGGUCGAAGCCAUUUCCAUUGACCGUAGCAUAAUGGCGAGCCUGUUAUUGCUGCGGCGCGCACACAGAACAUCGCAAUCGAACAGGCGUUCUUAUCGUCACUUUAUGGGUUUAAUGGAAUGGAUAAGAAAUAGAUCUUUGUCACUUCACGCCGAAAAAGCCAAUAGCCUAACAACAACAUUGCAAGCUAGUGAGGGCUCUAAUCUGCCAAAAGAGAGAGCUCGAGAAGUUAGACUAUAAUAUAACUGUAUUAGGUUACUAGCAUUGGGAGGCGGAUAAUCGUACAAAAACGAAAAAAAAAAAAAAGAUAUUUGUAGUGGCGCUAAUAAUAACGGAAGGGGCUGGACUUGAAGCAGUGUUUAACGGUAGUAACGAUAGUAUGAAAACUUAACGAACCAGGUUCAGUGGUAAUAGCAGCGGCAGUAGAAGCCACUGUAAAAGCGAAUAGAGGCAGUAAUAGCAUCACUGCCAUAUCGCCUGCCUUCGCUUUGGGUUCGGGGUUAGCGUCGACAUUGUAUCUAACUUUUCCACUACAGGCCAGAAACAUGCCGGAAGCUAACAUCUGCCCAAGGAUCAAGUGAUGACGUCAUUCUGGUGCAAUUUGGCCAUGCCAUAGGAACGUAUAAUAAUGACAAAAAAAAACAACAAGGGCGGCGACUAAGUGAUUCGGAGCGAAAGUGUCAGCAACAGAUCCCCAUGGUUGCCUUCGUAAGAAGUUAACUCGACAGAAUUCAGCCUGGAUCAUCGAGUUGUCCAAAUGCUGAGUUGUUAAUAGGGCAAGCUUUCGGCAUUACAUAGUAUAUACGCCAUUAAAUAUUUUUAUAUACCAGAAAGAGGUACGGCGCUGUCAUGCAAUACGCAGCCCGUAUAUGUUGUCAGUGAGCUUGAGUGAUUGAUGCCUAAAAUGUAAGUAUACGCGAACAGGCGCACCCAGCUAUUGAGAGAAUUAUGGUAAAUCUGAUAGGUCUGUACCUAAAUCAACGGUUCAGUCUUUUCAAACUGUCCUUUCAUGCAGAGUUGCACAAGUAAGCACAGAAACAUGCCAGGAUGAUUCACUACUAACCAUCGAGCUGCUCUGCUAGAAAGGAACGUCUGCUUUACGGGAGUUGGACUUAGCACUAUAACUGAGCGAUAUUAUUAUGGGUUGAUGAGAACUCUGGUAAGUCUGAGAUAUUUCUGCCUAUUCCGCAAUGGAUCGAACCAUUGUUUAUGCAAUGAGAUGACUGUUUUGUUGAAUAUAUUAUUUUCACGUACUUUUUUUUUAAUAACGCUUUGAAGACCAGUGUUUCCUGUCUGCUGAUCGAGUAGUUACGAAGCGUUUUAUUUAUACAUUGAUUAAUAUUAGCUCGAUGUCGCAAAUUCAACUCUCGAUUGGCGGAUCAGCGAAGUGCUCUUUGAAACAAGGAAAUAGUAAAACUAUAGCGACAUGCAAGUUAUCAAUUGUAACUGAAUUAUCAUGCGUACAUCCAACAAACAGGUACACCGCAGCGAGGUAAUUAAUCUAUGGCACCUAAAUAAGGCCCUGACAAAUUGAGCUCUCGAAAAGCCCGCCGCUAUCUUCCAUGAUUAUUGCAUUAUAACCGCCUUGUUCAUAGCAGUAACAAUUAUUAGGGGACAGGGCGGUCUAAAAUCACGCCGAUCUCCUUCGUAAGUAGCUCUUCAAGCAUAUCUUAGGCCUUAUAGGGUACAUCAUGCUACUUCACAUGUUAAAAUUAUAACAAAAUUAAAUCGUAUGCGUCGCAAGAAGACAAAUGCGACAUUUUUUUGAUUAUAUCAUGCAGUUACGGUUGUGCAUUAUUCGAUGACGGAUAUAACGCUCUCAUGCGUUCUUCCAUCUACUACCGUAUUGGAAUUUCUGUCUGGUCACGUUUCUUUAAAGCGAAUCGUGCGUGAAUCAUGUAUUCCUCCUGUCUUCUAUAGGACGCUUCAAUAAACAGCUGCAAAAUGUCUGUGAACGCUUGCUAUAACUGUUAUUUUAAUUAUCUACACUAUAUGAUCUGUGCGUCGUAUUGCACAAUCUGGCGGAAAUGUAAGGGUUUCUUAUAUAUACAUAUAUUGAAAGUGACAAAACUGACUGCGUCUUCAACUGGCACUGAACAACAUCGAUAAAAUAAAUCUUGUUCGAGAGGAGCAACCAUAGACACUGUUCUUUUAUAAACUUCGAAUACCAGCAAAAAGCGUCGUCGUGUAGUGCUUUUUAAUUCUCCGUCGUUUAACGGUUACGCGGCAUGCUGGUAUCCCCUUGCUACCGUCUUUCUUAGUUUUCAUAUGAUUUUUGUGUGACAUAUUGGCCAAAAAAGGAUUUCUAUCUAGCUCGGUCGCGGGUCAAAGAAUGGCGUUGCUUAAAGUGCUCACUCAAGUCAUUCACCGCAACAUCACACCCUGAGGAAUAACUCAGGGGACUAUUACAAGUACCACCAUAUUGAAUGAGUGUUUGUUGAGGCAUCUUAAUCCGGGUGGGAACGGAAGCACGGAAGGACGAUGUCAUAUAUAUAAACAGCCGCAGCCAUAUAUAUGUAUGGAUGCCGUUGCUGCUGUGAUUACUUUCACUAUUAUAUAGUUCAUUCACGCUAAGAAAAACCGAAAUCGAGCAGUGGCAGCUAAACUGGAGUCGCUCAUAGUUGUAGUUAAACUCUUCGAAGCGAGACCAAAGAAGUACCGAAGAAAAAUGGCAGUACGAUGACGAUUCUUAAACCAGUGUUCUUACGGUUAAGUGCGAGGGGCUUCAUGAAUUAGUCUGUCCACAUGACCGCGCUCGCGUAGCAAACGAUUUGCAAUAAUCAAGCCCAUAUAGCUUUGUUGUUCAGCUUGUAGGACCUAAAUAGUCAACCUGAUCCUUAGCUAUUGCCACCAUCAUCAUUAUAAUAUACAUAUAAUGGCGAUAUCUAUUGCGAUAUCGUUAUACUACUGUCAUCGUCGGUACUUACUAGGAUCGCUAUUCCGUUUGGCUUUACCAAUAUUGCGAAAAAGCCGCAGUCUUGCCUGUUUACCACUAACGUUUCACUCGAUGGCCUGAUUCGUCCCCGACAUUUGUGGGGUAUUGUUACGAGAGAAUGCAACGGACUUCGAAACUGAAUUUUGAACUAUGCGUUAAUAACGGACGAAAUUUUAUUGGUAAAUACUGAUGAUGGUGAUAACAUUUCGUAAGAAGGCCAUAAACGGAUGUACGGUACGGUACGGUACGGUUUCAAGAACAAAUAGCAGGUGAUAAAGAUCAGCGGGCACGUGACCACAUUUUGGCACCCGAAGAACAAGAGCAUUUCCACCAACUAACUUUAGACAAUAAGUUCAAUCUGUGAAACUUUAAUCAACAAAGAAUUCGCCUAUAAAGCAUAUCGCCGGCCUAUAAGACAUAGUUCAAUGUCUACAGUCAGCCGGAUCAAGCGAAAAAAUAGUGACGUUCUGGAACGAAAUAUUGGUUUGACGACUAUGGCAAGUAAGUUCGGCUCUAAAGCAACUGUACCAUCUGCAGUGGACAUCAACCGCAUCUGCUACUAUGGGGUAUUUACUAAAAAUAAAAUAACGAAUGCAACCAACAAUCUCAAGCUGCCUAAGCGACACACAGACUAUCAAUAGAGCAAUCGAAGGCAGGCAGGCAGGCAGGUAGUCCAGUUACUAUAUAACAACGGUAGACCUUAUCGUUGGGCCUUAAUUAUUUUCUAAAUUUAGCAAACGAAUACUCAACGUUGGCUUCAGCCCACUCGUUCUCCCGCGUCAUGUCUGCGUGAUCACGAGGCAUUCGAUAAUUUGAAAAGAAAAAAGAUAUUACAUAUAAAACAGAAUCGAGAGUGUCGAAACAAAAAAAAGGUCUAACACAUGUUCAAAGUUAUCAUUCUGGCCCGAAGCGUUUAGGAGUUAUUCAGUUUUAACGUCUGCUGGGCUACGCUUGUGACACCCUACUGGUAAGGAGACGUAAGAAGGGUUUCACGUUGCCGAUUUCGAGACAUUAUUCAAAAUUGACGGAAAAUGGAUCUGCAGUCGAUUAUCGUUCUCUGCUUGAAUAUAUCUACGCUCACCGGUUAAUAAAAAUUGAAACUAGCUAGUAUAAUAUAUAUAAUUAUUAAUUUGAUCUUUCUCGAUAAAAAACGAAGUUGCGACUGUAGGCUUAAGAUACGUUUUUCUGUCUUCGUAUGGCUGCAUGUAUUAAAGCAUCUUGUAAACUUUCAUAAAUUAACGCAAAGUUAAUAAGGUAUCAAGGCCUUCAUUGUUUAUGGAGUUUUAUUUUACAUUGGGGACCCCUGCAACGGUUUUCGAUUUCUUGAGCUACAAUAUAUAUACAGAUAGCGAGUAUCAGGGUGCAUCCAUAAUCCUGUUACUGUUGAUAAUAUUGUAUAUUUUGUUUCUGGAACGAUUCUUUCUUAAAUUAUUCGUAACUUUGCCAACAACUUCUUGCCCUGUCCUAAUAUAUAGCGUGACUACGCUUGAAACGAUGCUGAAGGGCACUUUGUUUUCAACGGGUCAACCAACUAUAGGCCAGCACAGAGAAUCAUGGUAGAUUUUGAUAUCGACGAUGAACUUACGUUAACGUAACAUGGCGUCGAUUGAAGAAGUACGUCAAGUUAUUAUCAGUUUUGGAUUUAUAUAGCGAUACUUAACGCCGUUUAGCAAUGGUGGAAAUUGUGCACAUCGAGUUCUCGUAAUGAACGUGACGAAGACCUUCCCUACUCGAUAACAUUAUAUUAUUAUAUAUUCCUAUUGUAUAUUUCUUUCUAGUCUGGACCUACCUUAAUUAUGUUACCGCACGACUUUGCCCGAUACAGUACGAUAUAUCGAUAAUACUAAUCGUUACUGGAAAAAAACCCUUAGAGUCUCCUCAACGUGAAGUUAUCCUGAAUUUCAUAGAUCAGUUGGUUACAGACCUAGGAAGCUCCUUUUCAUUUCAUCUGAAGCAUCUAGUGCUGUCUACAAGCAGAAGCAAAAGUAGUUGAACCAAGGAACAUUCAACUACUAUUUCACAAUUAAGAUAGCACUACUUCGGGUAUUUACCGAUGCUGUGUUCGGCUUGAGCCAUAGGAAUCACAGAGCCUUUUUAGUUACUAUCUUUAUUCUUGUUCCUACCACAUGUCUGGUACUCUGUACCUUGCGAUCGUAGAACAUCGAGGUGCAUUGCGAAUCACUGCACUGCUUGGUCCUCAAGCCCCAUACAUUGCACCCCACUCCAUUCCUCCAGCCUUAUACGGUUUCUACGAAGCUGAUAAUAAGCUAUAGAAUAGUGCAGAGACUUUCUAACCGUUCAAAUGCAAUUUGGCUGCAUCGUCCUGCACAGGUGCUUCUUUUUUAACCCUCAAUUUAGUUAAAUAUAAGCAAAAUGAUUUCAUCAUUGCCAAAUUAUAAAAUAUGUUGUACUUCAAGGUUUUGUAAGUAACG